AUUGAACGCUGGCGGCAUGCCUAACACAUGCAAGUCGAACGGCAGCACAGUGCGUAGCAAUACGUAUGGGUGGCGAGUGGCGGACGGGUGAGGAAUGCAUCGGAAUCUACCCAGUAGCGGGGGAUAACCUGGGGAAACUCAGGCUAAUACCGCAUACGACCUAUGGGUGAAAGCGGGGGACCGUAAGGCCUCGCACUAUUGGAUGAGCCGAUGCCGGAUAGCUAGUUGGUAGGGUAACGGCCUACCAAGGCGACGAUCCGUAGCUGGUCUGAGAGGACGAUCAGCCACACCGGAACUGAGACACGGUCCGGACUCCUACGGGAGGCAGCAGUGGGAAUAUUGGACAAUGGGGAAACCCUGAUCCAGCAAUGCCGCGUGUGUGAAGAAGGCCUGGCGGGUUU
rnacentral:rRNA from 1 species